rnacentral:lncRNA from 1 species
CUUGUUGAAGUAGCUCUUCACGUCGCCGCCGUUGCCGCCGUAGUUGCCGCCGCCGUUGCUGCUGUUGUUGUAACCCCCCAUCUUGUUGAACCCGAAGGCGUUGACGUUGUUGUUGUUGAUCUUGGCGGCGCCGCCGUAGGACUUGUUGUUGUUGUUGUUGUCGACGGGGAGGUUGACGCUGUUGUAGCGGUCGGCCUUGGUGGCGCCGAAGGCGAGCUUGCCGGAGCCGAUGAGGCCCGGGCCAUCCAGGUUUCCGGCGACGCCGUUGAUGUUGGCGAUGGCGUUCUUGGCGGGGGAGGGGGAGGAGAAGUGGUGGUACUCGCCGUCGAAGGCCGGCUCGUUGCGGCGGUCGGAGGGGGAGGACCAGAUGGAGUCGCCGAGGGAGAGGCCGGAGAAGCUCGCCGUCUGCAGCCGCAGCUGGUCGCUGAACUGGUAGAACUCGCGGUCGUAUCCCUCCAUGGCCGCUGCUGCUUUUUUUCUCUUGUUUUCUCGUGUGCUCGUGCUGCUUGGCUAGGGGGCGCGGAAUGGGAAAGGAGACGGGGCGGGAGGCGAGUGGUUUUAUCGGGGCAGGAGGAGACUGUGCGACGCGGCUCGGCUCGGUUGGUUGGUUGGUGAGUGGUGGUGGUCUCGGGUGGAUACGAGUUUUGGUCGUAAUUUCGACCGGGACAAGGGCGAAAUCACCGUGCGCAAAGCAAAGCGCGACGAGGGAAGCUUCGGCGAAGGUGGCGAAAACGCGUCCGUGCUGCUGCUGAUUGUUCACUUCAGUUCAACGGCGUCUUCUUCUGGAAGAUGGGAUAGGAUUACUUACACUAGUCUAGUCUAAUGAGAGAUUGUGUUAGUGAAUACAAGUGACGUGUUCAUUGUUGGGCCGCUUUGGAACACGACCGAUCAGCAAGAGCCAGCCAGCUGUGAUGCAUCGAGUCGUGGACGUCACUGCCGUACAGAUAACGAAAGGAUGCGGGGUACGAGUGGAGAGUACACUAUGCUUGGUGUUACCGUCUGAAAAGAAAAGGCUAGGUAGCUGAAACUAAUCUCCUUUUUUUCGAGCUAAAGAAAAAGAUACAGAAUAAAAUCAUGCUCCUUUCUUUUUUACAUGGAUGUGACGGGGUUGGCAAUUUUUUCCCCGGCAUAUCGAAUGUUUGAACACAUGUACAUAUUAUUAAAUAUUGAAAAAAAAAAACUAACUACACAGUUUGCGUGUAAAUUGCGAGACGAAUUUUUUAAGCCUAAUUGCGCCAUGAUCUGACAAUAUAGUGCUACAGUAAACAUUUACUAACGAUGGAUUAAUUAGGCUUAAUAAAUCCGUCUCGCAGUUUACCUAUUAUGUAAUUUGUUUUGUUAUUAGUCUAUGUUUAAUACUUUAAAUACUUGCCCGUAUAUCUGAUGUGACCCAAUAAAUUUUUUUACCGGUGGAACUAAACGCAGCCGUAACUCUCAAGCUCCUACACCCGAGCUAAGCUUGCACACAUGUACUAGGAUAUGUUUGGAGAGCUUCUAGCAAAUAGAGAAUCUUUUAGAAGCUGCAGCUGUCAAACAAACCAUCCUAAUUUUUACUGUGUUUAGAUCCAAAGUUUGGAUGCAAACUUCAGUCAUUUUCCAUCACAUCAACAUGUCAUACACACAACUUUUCAGUCACAUCAUCUUCAAUUUUAACCAAAAUCCAAACUUUGCGUUGAACUAAACAUAGCCUUGAAUUAUGAAAAGUUGUAGCCGUAUAAUCCAGAAAAUAAAUUAGAAACCAAAAAUCGAGGUUCAUAUAUUUUCAUCGGCUGUUUCUUAAACUGUCCAAAUAAAACCCUAGUAUUAUUCUAAGCUCCUUUUUCGUAGUGUCAAAAAAUAAGUGGUUCGAGUCCCCCGCGUGGUGUAGCACACAUGCUGCGAUCCAACUCGACGGGCCGUACAUGCACGAUUGAUCCGGAAUUCCGGAUGCACUGCAAACCACCUUGUUUUUUGCAACGAACGCCAGAGUGAUUGACACGUACGAUGGUCACUCAGAUGGAGCAGCACAAGUGGCCAGCGGGCACGUCUCUCGCUGUCUCGCAACGGAGCGCACCAUCGGCUGCGCUGCGUGCGUAGUGCGUGUGCGGCGCGUCAUCCGUGCCGUGGAGGCGAAAGCGAGUGAGAGCCGAGGGCCCGAGGCACAUCAGAGUGCGCGGGGCGGGGGUGGGGACUCCGCUCUCUCUAUCGGAGGGACGUGCGGGCGGGGACGGACGGACGGAGGGAGGCAAGUGCGAUCGCGACGCACGUCGCGCUGCGCCCUGUCCUGUAUCUCCCUCCCUCAUUUUCUACACGCACGUUUUUCAAACUACUAAACGGUGCGUUUUUUACAAAAAAAAAAAAUUUAUACAAAAGUUGUUUAAAAAAAAUCAUAUUGAUCCAUUUUUGAAUUUUUUUUAUAAAUACUUAAUUAAUCACGUGCUAAUGGACUGCUCCGUUUUCCGUACGGGGAGUUUUGUCUCUAGUUGGAUGUUUGCAUUCCUGUGCCUGAUACAUAUCCCUUCCGGUUGGGACGAUCCAACACAACUGCAUUCGAACGACCCGAAUCAUAUGUUGAACUCCUGCUGGGUGGAUCUUUAUUGACUUGGGGAAAUUCGCGCUCUCCACACAAACAACCUGUUAUCGUCGUCACGACGAUUUUUGUCCGCGAAUUCCAUUUUCAAAAUACAGUAGUAGUAGUAAUACACAGAUCGAUUAUAGCCCCCGUAAUUACUCUUCGAGCGAACGCGCGUGGCUAGUAACCGGGGAAGGCAUCUCCUCCAUGACUCGCAUUUACUCCAGUGCUAGCUAGCUCUCGAGUGUGAAAUCGCCGGAUCCGCGUGACCCCGUCCGUCCGUUGGUUGUUUCCUCGCGGCAAAGCCCCGCGUGCGCACGCGUACGUGUCGCGCGCCGCACACGGCCACAACCCCACCCCGCGUCGCGAUCGCUCACCCGGCAGCGCGCCGCGCGCGCCCGCCUGCCUUGCCUCUGAUCCGCUGAUCCGGUGGAUCCCUCGUCCUGGGCGCCAGCAGCGGCUGAUCCGGUGGACCUCACCGAUCGGUCGACCGAACCGCCAAGCCGCGAAGAAGCCGAUGCCCGCGCGUACUGCCCCGCGUACUACGCGGGGGGUGGUGGGUGCAAGCGCAAAAAACGGUGGUGCAUCGCAUAUUCACUUGUCGUGGUGGGGUGGGGGGGGUCACACACACUGGCGGGACUUGUGGCCUUGGCAUGGCGUGACACUGUGCUCUCGUAUGGGAAGGGAGUCGGCGGAGUGGUGGGCGCACGGGCUAUAGGAGGAUUUUAGCGUACUCGCUCGCGUGGACGGGGGCAUAUGGUAUGGCCCGUGGAAACGGAGAGCGAAAGGGAGAGAGUUGCCAGUGGUCGGGUGGGGAUGCGUUGAUUUGGUUUGCUUUUCUGUUUCUUGCGCGAUGAUCUGGUUUGCAAUUUUCUUUUGGUUGGUUCCCCGUGGAGUACGACAAGUCCAAAUACAAAGUCGUUCUGGAAAAAUAAUCUUGGGAGUAAAUUGAAAAGAGUUUUAUAAGCGAUGUGUUGAGCCAUACCCGGACAAAAAGAACGGAACGGAGGAAGCUCCACUAAAAUACAGAAAAAAAGACCCGCAUGAGAACAUAUUAGUAGUGUCUUAUUCACAAGGAAUUCCUAUAUUUCUAAAGUGGCCCAAACUCUGAAUUCUGACCUGUGUGUCACAAGACUCACAAAUUAGCUGAUAAAAGAAUCGGAGCAGCCGAACUUGCUGGUAUCUCAAGCCAAACUUCACCGUGCAAUUUAGUCAAUCAAUUAGCCUAUCACGGUCGUUCAAAAGGGACAAAAUCAAUUAGCUACCAGUAAAGCUAUUGAUAGGAGUAAUUUAUUAGACUCGCUUCCUCUGCUCAUCACCCACACACGACUGUUGAGCACCAACGUUUGGUGACCUUUUCCUAACCUUCACGCUAGAUUUUUCUUUUGGCGUUUCUAGAAGCCCCGUCGCUAUUGACCGGGUGACACGCGGCGGCAAAGCACGGGCGGUAGUCGGUGGCCGAAGCACCCCAACCCCCAACUAACCGUGCUCACGAUCAUGUCCACGAUAUCACUUUGCCUGUGUGGGCUAACCGGCUAAACAAAAAGACCCUUGUCAAAAUCAAACAGGAGAAGAAUAAAGUGCGAACGAAAAGAAUAUCGCUAGAAGAUCGUCACAAACAGAGACGAUCGGGUCGCUGCCGUGAUGUUUUCACCCCUGCGAGUGAUGUAGGGUUUAUUGAUACUACUUCCAUUUUAGUUUAGUUGUCGCUUUGACUUUCUCUUUCGAACGUUUAAUCAUUCGUUUUAUUUAAAAAAUUAGUAUAAAUAUAAAAAAGAUAAGUUAUACUUAAAGUACUAUUGAUAACAAAGCAAAUCAUAAAUAAAAUAAAUAAUAAAUUUAUAUAUUUUUUAAUAAGACAAAUGAUCAAAAAUUAAAAAAAACUCAAAGCGAUAAUUAUUUUAGGACGGAGGUAGUAUCAUCUUACCAAACAGAAGAGCAUCGAUAAAAAGGAGAUAGUUAACGAUACAACUAAUUUGCAUGCAUAUGUUGUGUAGGACCAAAUGAAGUAGAGACCUGUUGCAGCCCUUGUAGUUUACGUUUGGUUUCAUCUUAGUAUAACAUAACUAUAUAUCCACAUUGGUGGCAAAACCUGGGUCGUUUGAUCUAGCCGCUCGAAGUUAUAUCAUCUGCGCAAAAUACCAUAUCGUUCACCAAUCGAGAAACAUCUAUUGCAGAAAGAUCUUUCUAUGUCCCUAUAAAAAAAAUAAGACAUAGACGCAUAGUACUUUUGAAUAAAAAAACCUCCUCCUCUUUACCAUCCGGUCCUCCGACCUCACCUAGCUGUUGGCUGAGUUUGAGAACAAAAGCAAGACAUAGUACAUUUGAAUAACAAAAACUUUCAAUUUCCUACUUCAUUGGCAUAACAAUUUACUCUAACAACGUGGAUAUAGUAAAUUUGCUAAGAUUUAUAUGUGGCAUGGACAUAGUAAUUUUUGUAAAUCUGCUUUAACAUUGACAUACAUGGCCAUCCUUAAGAAUUUGAGGCCCCUAUGAAAAAACAAAUUGAUGUCCUAUAUUUAUAAGAUGCCAAGAAACAAAACAAUAAAUUAGUGGUGGUACUCUAUGUAAGUUGGAAGAAUAAUUUUUUAAAUUAUGGUGUAAAAAAUAAUUAUGCCAUUUAUUUGUUGAUAAGCGGAAAAACAAAAUCUUUAAUACUUGAAACACAUGUCCAUAUUAUCGUCAUGAGCCAUAGCUCUUUGAGAUGGCCAUUAAAAUUAUCGAACACUUAUAUGUGUGAAAAAGAAAAAGAAAGUAGAAGAAACACGCUCCAGCCAAAUCAAUAAAUGAGCGAGUAUUUUUUUAAAAAAAAUGGAGCUAGAGGCCUUUAAAUACAUUGGUACAUAUUGGCCUGGAUUAAAAUGUAAAAAAUUAUGGGCAUGUCUGGUUGUUCACACUGCGUACUACCUCGUCAAUAGCACUAUCGAACAUAUGAGAUUCAUGGUAAAUUGUACAAGCGUGACAAUGACCAUGAUUCUCAUCAUAAUAUGUUCAUGGUCCAUAUAGUUUGACAUGUAUCACAUAUAACAUUUGUGACGGCUCAUCUAAAUUUGACAUAGAGGUCCUUUAACAUUUAACAUUUGUGACGGGUUUAAGUUUCUCCUUUUCCGUUAGCACAAUUUUCAAACUGUUAUGAAAGUUUCUACAUAUAAGUUGUUUUAUAAAAAUCAAAUAAAUCCGUUUUUUAAAUUUAUAAUAGUUAAUACUUAUUUAAUCACGUGCUUAUGUGGUUUUCCGUUUUACGUGCGCGAAAAACUUUACCUUCUUUUUGAAGCAUCGAACGGGGCCUUAAUAGGAUGAUGAGAUAUGUGAGGAAUAAGUUCACCAGAGGUCCAUCAACUUAACAUCGAGAUUUUUUGAGGUCCCUUAACCAUAAAACCAAAAAUGUGUAUCCCUAAACUCCCUCAAACCUUUGUUCACCGGAGGUCCCUCGACAGUAUUUUUGCCCGGUUUUGCCGACGUGGCAUCCUAGUCAGCAAAAAAAAUUUAAAAAGUAUGUGGGGCCCACAUGUCAGCUGCACAUUCUCUUUUCCCAUCUCUUCUUCAGUGAGGCGGCCGGGCAGAUGAGGGCGUGCGACAGGCGGCGGUGCGGGCACAACGGCGCGCAGGGAAGAAGCGGGAGAGGGGAGAGGAGGCGAGCGCGGCAGCGGGCGGCGUGGAGCGAGCGCGCCGGCGGUGGCGGGAGAGGGGGAGAGAGGCGGCUGGGACGGCGGGAGCGGCGGGCAGGACAGCGGGCGAGAGUGGCAGCGGAGCGGCGGCGCUCGUCAUGCUCUAGCUCUUCACCGCCGGCAUUGUCGUCGUGUUGGUUAACCUCCAUGAGCGCGGUAGGCGGAGCAGCGGUGGGCGGAGGGUGGCGGGCGCUUACGACGGAGCGGGGGGCCUGGUCGACGAGCGGCGGGGAAGGGGAGGGGUGGGGGGCAAGUGUGGCUGCGGAGCGGCGGCAGGCGAUCGGCGGCUACCUCUUCGCCGAUGCGGCGCGCCACCCCCUCUCCCGCCGGCCUCAUCUCCACCCUUGAAUACGAGGUUGAUGGGCUCCUCAUCGUCGUCGCCGUCCCCGGGUGGGAACGGCGGCGCGGGGGGCUUGUAAUCGUCGUCGUCGGGCAGGGCGGCCUUGGCGCCCUUCUUGCCGGAGAGGAGAGAGAGCCGGCCGAGCUUCACUCGUGAGCUUGUCGGCGGCAAUGGCGUCCCUCCGCGCGUGAGAGAAGAAAGGCCAAAAGCCCGUAAACGCAUGCAUGCUAGCUAUGGGUUCUCAAGUGAGGGAUACAUGCAUGCAGUAGAGAGAAAAAGACCAAAGCAAAAGCAGCUUGUGAUUGAUUUGCAGGUUGCACGGGUUGAAAGUGACAAGAUCGAUCGAUCGAAUAUAUAUGUAUAUAUUCAUGAAUGAAUGCAUAUAUGCAUGUAACUCUAAGCCUCGCCCACGGCGACGAUGACGGUGGAGAGCCGACGACGACGGCGGCCAUGGCGCGUGGCUGCUCCGCCUGCAGCCUCCGCUCCGCCGCCGGACGGCCGCGCCGCGUAGCCUCGCUCACGGCGACGACGACGGUGAAGAGCCGACGACGAGGGCGGCCACGGCGCGCGGCUGCUCCGCCUGCAGCCUCCACUCCGCCGCCGUGCUCCGCAGCCUCCGCUCCGAGGGACCUCCGGUGAAUGGUUUGAGUGAGUUUAGGGUUAAGGGUAGACAUUCUUGGUUUUGUGGUUAAGGGACCUCAGUAAAUCUCGCUGUUAAGUUGAGGGACCUCCGGUGAACUUAUUCUGAUAUGUGAUGAUAGUUGAGCCCGUACAUUAUUUGAGUUCACUGUAUUUUGGCCCAGGAGUAAGGGAGCGCUAUCGAGUGGGGGGAAUGGGCCAGGCAUCAAGAAUCCGCCGUGGCCCUCUCCUUGGUGGGACGUCGUGCGUUGUGCAGGCUGGAGCGAGUUACGCACGCGCGCAUGGGCUGAACCUUCAGCUGGUUCGCCCGUGAAUUAAAAACGGGCCACGCACUUGGGUGAGUUAAUUAGCGGAUUAGCUGGCCAUGAACAAUUAGCAGGCCGCGCUUAUUAGCUGGGCUUUUUCUGUGAGAAUUACUGGCUUGGGUGGCCAGUUCGGUCAGGGCAUUUCGGCUGGAGCUGCUGGUGUCUUCAAAAAAAAAAAAAAAAGGGAAGGGGUGGGGGAUGGAUUAUUAGCAUCUAAUUAAUUAAACAAUAAUUAUUAUAAAUUUUAAAAAUAUAUUCUAUUUCAUUUAGAAAACACUUUUAUAUAAUUUUUUUGAAAAUAAUAUACGUUUGGCAUUUUGGUUGGGAAGCGUGUUCACGAUAAACGAGAGAUAAGCAAAAUUCAAACCCAGCCUAGUCUAGUUGAAUGUCAUAUUUAACUGCUAAAUUUAUAUUUAUGCGGUUAUUAUUAUCAUUUGAUUAAUUUGAUGUAAAUUAAAAAUGGAACCAACUAGAAAUCUUAAUUACUGACUAGAUUUAUCUUAGGAAGAAGUCCAAAUACCCCUCCAAACAUCAAAUGAAAGUGCAUCUAGCACCCUGAAUUUUGAAACCCAACAUUGAUCACUCUAAACUUUAUAAUACCGUUUAUAUAGCCCAAAAAGGUGGUUUUGUAUAGUGGCUUUUUUUUUUAUCUAAUUUGUAUAUAAAUUGGACAAGUUUGAUCUCGUGACAUACGCAUUGGACAUAUAUAUUAAAAUCUCCACUUAAAUCUUUCUUUUUACCACUUGUGUUAGCUCUCACUUAUAAAUAAAUACCAAUAUAAUAAUACUACCAUACAAAACCAACUUAGGCUGUGUUCGCAUAUGCCGGUUCCCAUCCAAACAGUCUGCACGGAAAACGGAGCGGUCCAUUAGCACGUGAUUAAUUAAGUACUUGCUAUUCUUUUUUCAAAAAUGGAUCAAUAUGAUUUUUUAAGCAACUUUCGUAUAGAAAAUUUUUAUAAAAAAACACACCAUUUAACAGUUUGAAAAGUGUGCGUGCGGAAAACGAAGCAAGGGAGUUGGGAACUUAGAGUUCUGAACACACCCUUAGGAAGUUAGGAGUAGUAUGAAUGGUUUUGCAAGAUUAGGGGGUUGGAUGCCUGGUUUUAAAUUUUAGGGUGCUAGACGGACUUUUGUUCAAACUUUUGCUUGGGGUGGGGUGGGGGGAAUAUAUGAAAUUUUUUAUUUAUCUUAAUGGAUUAUUAAGAUUGUUCUUUUUAAUGAUUCAUGGUUGUAAACUUGUUUGUAAUCAUUUUCCACCACAAGCAAUUAUGUUCGAGAAAACAUUAAUUUUCUAUUAUCCUGUUUUAUGUUAUAAGACGUUUUGAUUUUUUUAAAAAUUAGUUUAUAGAAAGACAUAAAUAUUUUCAACACCAAACAAUUAUAUUUUUAAAAUAUAUUCAACUUUAGGUUUAGUGGGUUAAUUUGGUGUUAAGUUGCUAUAUUUCUCUUUAAACUUACUUAAACCUAUAAAAGUUUAACUUUGGAAAACAUAAAAAAGAUUUAUAAUACGAAACGAAAAAUAUACUUAAUUAUUUCAGAUAUACUCAUGUACUAAUUAACUUGCACAUUUCCCCCUUUUUGGCCGGCAAAAGCUGGUGAUGAGCAAGUAAGAAUAACGCGGAUGGUGCUGUUCAAAAGCUGAACAUAUGCGAUCAUUUCGAAUAAUUAUAUCAUCCCAAGCAAGCUGGGACCAUUUAUUUUCCAUAUAAAAUAAAACAACGAAAUCUAAUUAACACUACUUUGACAGUUGACACUGUCUAGUAGCUAGGCCGGCCAGCUAGUUGUCUCGCUAGUUGCAACAGCUAGCUCGGAUGCAGAACAAGCUGAGUUGCCCCGCAAAUCUUUCGAAACUUGUAAACUCUAUUAUCUAAUCGCAGUUGCUUCUUAGAAUGUGCCAUUAUGCUUGCUCUGAAAGCUUCUACAACGCACAAAUCCUCUCGUAUAAUACGCUGAUCGAGCGGCUUAAUUAUAUUUGUCUCUGGUUUGCUGUGCAUUCGAAUGAUGAAGCUAGGCCGGCCGGUGUUGAGAUUAUGGGCAUAUAAUGAUUUAAUUUAUUCCAUAAAUAAGUCAUGACAUUACAGAUGAAAACUAGCAUGAACGCAUCAUUAGAUCUACACAUGUAAACUACGCAGAAUAACAUGAACAGAUCAAAUAUGCGCAACAUAUUGAACACGUACCGAGGUGACGAAAAGACCGGCUGCUUGGUCGAAACUUUUCGCAGGUGUCUACGAAGGCACGAAACACGCGAGCGAAGAGGAAGGCGAGCCGUCGCGAACGAACAGGGAGCAGUCGCGCGAAGCGCUUCCCAAAAACCUUAUUGCCGCCUUCUCCCGGUGCAGGACGUCAAAGGCAGAGGUUCCGGAGACCUGCUCUCCCGAUCGCUGGUGCACGCCGGCGAGCGGGAUGGAGUAGUCUACGAGCGACGGCGCAGUACAGAGUAGGAGGCAAACCCUAGAUUGAUUUUCGCAUAUAUUGCGUGAAGACGGCGGGUCGGUUUAUAUAGAGAAAGGUCGCUUGAUCAGGGCGCCCGCACGAUCUCUACUGCGCGUAACCGAACCGGAUAAGUCGCGCGUAACUUAUCCGGACUCCACGCCGUUUGCACGCAUCGGAUUUUUCGGAACGUUUCCAAAACAAAAACGAAUCCGAAUUUGCAGCAAAACAAAACUGCAAAAAGAGGCUGCAUCUGCGCAAGGGUGAGGAGCCAAUUUUUCGGACCAUUCGACGCGUACGUCGUGCACGCGCGCCGCCUGCCCUGCCCUGCCCUGCCCAGGCCAGGCCAGGCGAGGCGAGGCGAGCGAGCGCGCGCGUGUGUUUCCCCUCUUCUCUCCACCACACAUGCUUCAAGUGGCUAGGAGGGCAUCCUCCCUUUUAAGGAGGUCCCCCUCUCCUAGAAUAAGCAAGGUGGUACUAAACUCCACAUGCAUGCCAUCCCAUGAGGUGGGCUUUUGUGAUUUUCCAAAGAAUUAAUCUUCGAGUGGGCUAAGACCCAUUCAUUAAUUCCAACAAUCCCCCACCAAAUCUCAAAAUCCCACUGAGAUUUGCCUUUUCCAAUGUACUGUUUAUAUACCAGCGGUUCGAUGGAGACCAAUUAAGGUUGAACAUCCACCUAGAACUCCAAGCUACACUUACUCACAACUUGAACAAUGGACUACGCCUUGAAUUGCAAGUCUUGUGCAAGCAAGUUUCACUCAAAGUCUUAUCUGGUACUAGACCGUCUGUAGACUACCCCUCGGGUGGAGCGUAUAAGUCAUACUCCUAGGUCUUUAGUAAGCUUCCUAGAAGAUUCACCCAAAAUCUUCAUGGACUGCGACCAACAGUCAAGCUCACAAAGGUGAGUUCCUUCAAGAAUGCUCUGCAGGACAACAUCUUUGCUAAUUAAAGCCAACAGAACUCAUUAAGGCAUAGCCAACCUGCCUUGCAGCUCACGAGAGUAUAUGCAUCUUCACUUAGAGAGGGUAUAUAUAUUGGUACUCUCCUCUAGUUUAUUAAUGGUUUGUUCUUCCCAGGAUCUAAUUCACGGGAUCUCCGAUCACAUAGACUGGGUUACCACCAUAGUAUAACUCACAUGGGUCUCAAACCCAUCUCCUUCGAUGCAUUGUCUAUCACAUUUCGUGAUAGUCCCUUCGUGAAGGGAUCUGCCAGGUUUCUCGCUGUUUGGAUGUAAUCCAACGUUAUAACUCCGGAGUUUCUUAAUUUCCUGACAGACUUCAAUCGUCUUUUCACAUGUCUAGACGAUUUCAUAUUAUCCUUAGAAUUAUUCACUUUGACAAUUACCGUUUGAUUGUCACAGUUCAUAAGGAUAGCCGGCACCGGUUUUUCAACAACAGGCAGAUCCAUUAAUAGAUCACGCAACCAUUCUGCCUCAACAGUAGCAGUAUCCAGUGCCGUUAGCUCUGCUUCCAUGGUUGACCUCGUCAAAAUUGUCUGUUUGCAAGACCUCCAUGAAACAGCACCACCACCCAGUGUGAAAACAUAUCCACUAGUGGCUUUGAUCUCAUCCACAUCAGAGAUCCAGUUAGAAUCACUAUAACCCUCCAGUACCGCAGGAUACCCAGUAUAGUGAAGCCCCAAUUCCACAGUACCUUUCAGAUAGCGCAUUACUCGCUCAAGCGCACGCCAGUGAUCAUCUCCCGGAUUAGAGGUAAAUCGGCUCAACUUGCUCACAGCAAAGGAGAUAUCAGGCCUAGUUGCACUAGCCAGGUACAUCAACGAGCCAAUGAUUUGGGAGUAUUCCAGUUGAUUCCUAGCAAUUCUCUUGUUCUUGCGAAGCGACAAGCUAGGAUCAUAAGGUGUUGGAGAAGGCUUACUAUCAAUGUAGCCAAAGCGAUUCAAGAUCUUCUCCACAUAAUGAGACUGCAAGAGUGUAAUCCCAUUCUCACCUCUAAUUAGCUUAAUGUUUAAAAUAACAUCAGCUACUCCCAAAUCUUUCAUAUCAAAAUUUUGAGACAAGAAUGAUUUAACCUCAUUUAUCACCUCAAUGUUUGUCCCAAAUAUCAGUAUGUCGUCAACAUACAAGCACAAAAUAACUCCCUCACCCCCACCAUGGCGAUAGUACACACAUUUAUCUGCCUCAUUGACUGCAAAGCCUGCAGACGUCAAUGUUUUGUCAAAUUUCUCAUGCCAUUGCUUAGGAGCUUGUUUCAGACCAUACAAAGACUUCAACAAUUUGCACACUUUGCCUUCUUGACCUUCAAGUACAAACCCAUCAGGUUGAUCCAUAUAGAUCUCCUCAUCCAGCUCUCCAUUAAGAAAAGCUGUCUUAACGUCCAUUUGAUGAACGAGAAGACCAUGUGAGGCUGCUAGGGAAAGUAGCACACGAAUUGUGGUCAAUCUAGCAACAGGUGAGUAAGUGUCAAAGAAAUCUUCGCCUUCUUUCUGAGUAUAGCCCUUAGCAACAAGCCGAGCCUUGUACUUUUCAAUAGUACCGUCAGGCCUAAGCUUCUUCUUGAACACCCACUUGCACCCCACAGGUUUACACCCAUAGGGUCGCUCUGUCACCUCCCAAGUCCCGUUAGCGAUAAUGGAAUCCAUUUCACUACGGACAGCCUCCUUCCAGUAGUCUGCAUCAGGAGAUGCAUAUGCUUCUGAAAUUGACUUAGGAGUGUCAUCCACGAGGUACACAGUGAAAUCAUCACCAAAAGACUUAGCCGUCCUUUGUCUCUUACUCCUUCGAGGAGCUUCACUGACAUCCUCCUCAGAGACAAGUUCAUGUGUAUGUUCAGUUUGUUCUGGUGGUGUGAUUGAACUGGGAAUUAUUUCAGAGGGUUGGUUCGAACCACUAUGUGUAUCCUUCAUUGGGAAAAAGCUCUCAAAGAAGGUAGCAUCACGAGACUCCAUAAUUGUACCAACAUGCAUGUCCGGUACCUCGGAUUUAACUAUUAAAAAUCUAUAGGCAAUGCUAUGAUGAGCAUAUCCCAGAAAAACACAGUCCACAGUCUUAGGUCCAAGUUUGCGCUUCUUCGUUAUUGGUACAUUGACUUUCGCCAAGCACCCCCAUGUGCGCAAAUAAGAAAGUGAUGGUUUUCUACCAAUCCAUAUCUCAUAUGGUGUUUUGUCCUUAUUUCUGUUAGGAACUCUGUUUAACACAUGAUUUGAGGUCAACAAUGCCUCCCCCCACCAUGCCUUAGGCAGUCCCGCGGUGUCCAACAUGGCAUUCACCAAGUCAGUCAGUGUGCGGUUCUUCCUUUCAGCAAUCCCAUUAGACUCGGGAGAAUAGGGAGGCGUCCUCUCAUGUAUGAUGCCAUGUUCCUCACAGAAUAAGUCAAACUCGUUCGAGAAAAACUCUCCACCACGAUCAGACCUAAGCCUUUUUAUCUUUCUGUCAAGUUGAUUUUCAACCUCUGCCUUAUAAAUUUUAAAAUAGUCUAGAGCCUCGUCUUUCGUUUUCAACAAGUACACAUAGCAAAAUCUAGUAGCAUCAUCAAUCAAUGUCAUGAAAUAUCGUUUUCCACCCUUCGUCAACACCCCAUUCAUUUCACAAAGAUCUGAAUGUAGGAGUUCUAGUGGUGCCAAGUUUCUCUCCUCGGCAGCCUUGUGAGGCUUGCGAGGUUGCUUCGAUUGCACACAACUAUGGCACUUAGAACCUUUGACAAUGGAAAACUUAGGAAUUAAACACAUGCUGGAAAGCCGAGACAUCAAGCCAAAAUUAAUAUGACAUAAACGUGAAUGCCAAACAUUAGCCUCAUCAUCCACACUGCCACAAAUAUGGUUCACAGACUUAUUGCAGAAAUCAGAAAGGGAAAAGCGGAACAGGCCUCCGCACUCAUAACCUUUACCAAUAAAAUAUCCAUGUUUAGACACGACUACUUUAUUAGACUCAAAAACCAACUUAAAUCCGUCUCUAGUCAGACGGGAGCCACUAACAAGAUUCCUGUCGAUAGAAGGGACAUGCUGCACGUUCUUCAGCUGCACGAUCUUUCCCGAAGUAAACUUCAGAUCUACCGUGCCAACACCAUGAACAGAAGCAUGUGACCCAUUCCCCAUUAGGACGGUGGAACCCCGUGCGACCUGAUAAGAAGAAAACAAUGAGAUGUCAGCACAAACAUGUACAUUGGCCCCAGUAUCAACCCACCAAUUAGUAGAUUGAUUAACUGAAAAAACAGUAGGUAAAUUACCAUACCCGCUUCCAUCUCCAGUGUUGCCAAUGGUCACAUUAGCAGACUUAGAAGUCUGCCCUGCAGGUGCCUUCAUCCCCUUGCGUUGUGGACACUUCCUAGCCAGAUGACCAACUUGGCCACACACAAAGCAAGUCCUCUCAUCCUGAUUAGGAUUGUUGUUGUUCUUCUUCUGCUUCUUGAAGUUGGUGGUCUGCUGAGCUUUGUAUUUCCCCUUGCUCUUGUUCUGGGCCUUGUGCACAACAUUGGCACUGGACUGCCCACCAUCGCCCUUAGACGCGGCAUCUUUUUCCCGAGCUUUCUCCUCAACAUCAAGAGACGCAAUCAACCCCUCAACGGAGUAUUCCUGUCUCUUGUGUUUGAGUGCAGUACCGAAACUCCUCCAAGAUGGAGGUAGUUUUGCAAUAAUGCACCCGGCCACAAAUUUGUCGGGUAAGACACACUUAAGGAGUUCGAGUUCCUUAGCCAUGGUUUGUAUCUCAUGAGCCUGUUCGACUACAGAACGGUUGUCAGCCAUUUUGUAGUCAUGAAACUGCUCCAUGAUAUACAGAUCAUUGCUAGCAUCAGUAGCACCGAAUUUAGUAUUCAGUGCAUCCCACAACUCCUUAGCGUCGGUCAUAUGCAUAUACACCUCGACCAGACGAUCGCCAAGAACGCUAAGAAUGCAUCCCACAAAGAGAGUAGUGGCUUCCUCGAAUUGCUUCUGCUGUUCAGCAGUAAGAACUCCUUCAGGUUUGCCAGUACUCACCCAGAAGCAUUUCAUAGCUGUCAGCCACAGAGUGACCCUGAUCUGCCAUCUCUUAAAAUGCACACCGGUGAAUUUAUCCGGCCUCAGUGCAUCGGCAAAACCAGCCAUAGUAAAAUCACAGUGCCUAUAAUAAGGUUUUUGGAUUGUUGAGAUUAUGGGCAUAUAAUGAUUUAAUUUAUUCCAUAAAUAAGUCAUGACAUUACAGAUGAAAACUAGCAUGAACGCAUCAUUAGAUCUACACAUGUAAACUACGCAGAAUAACAUGAACAGAUCAAAUAUGCGCAACAUAUUGAACACGUACCGAGGUGACGAAAAGACCGGCUGCUUGGUCGAAACUUUUCGCAGGUGUCUACGAAGGCACGAAACACGCGAGCGAAGAGGAAGGCGAGCCGUCGCGAACGAACAGGGAGCAGUCGCGCGAAGCGCUUCCCAAAAACCUUAUUGCCGCCUUCUCCCGGUGCAGGACGUCAAAGGCAGAGGUUCCGGAGACCUGCUCUCCCGAUCGCUGGUGCACGCCGGCGAGCGGGAUGGAGUAGUCUACGAGCGACGGCGCAGUACAGAGUAGGAGGCAAACCCUAGAUUGAUUUUCGCAUAUAUUGCGUGAAGACGGCGGGUCGGUUUAUAUAGAGAAAGGUCGCUUGAUCAGGGCGCCCGCACGAUCUCUACUGCGCGUAACCGAACCGGAUAAGUCGCGCGUAACUUAUCCGGACUCCACGCCGUUUGCACGCAUCGGAUUUUUCGGAACGUUUCCAAAACAAAAACGAAUCCGAAUUUGCAGCAAAACAAAACUGCAAAAAGAGGCUGCAUCUGCGCAAGGGUGAGGAGCCAAUUUUUCGGACCAUUCGACGCGUACGUCGUGCACGCGCGCCGCCUGCCCUGCCCUGCCCAGGCCAGGCCAGGCGAGGCGAGGCGAGCGAGCGCGCGCGUGUGUUUCCCCUCUUCUCUCCACCACACAUGCUUCAAGUGGCUAGGAGGGCAUCCUCCCUUUUAAGGAGGUCCCCCUCUCCUAGAAUAAGCAAGGUGGUACUAAACUCCACAUGCAUGCCAUCCCAUGAGGUGGGCUUUUGUGAUUUUCCAAAGAAUUAAUCUUCGAGUGGGCUAAGACCCAUUCAUUAAUUCCAACAGCCGGGUCAAUAUGGCAAGCAGGAAGCAUGCACCUAGCCUCCCAGUGUAUGGGUUAGGAAACAACCAAUAUGGACGGUUACAUGGCUCUUUGAAAAAACUAUACAUCACUCGACCUAUUUCGGGAGGAAAAUUACACAAAUUUCUAACUUUAUUAUGAUUUACUCCGUGAUUUAUAUUUUGGCUUUGCAUAAAUUAUUUGACUUACUCCAUCAUUUAUGGGUAGAAAGAUGAAAGGUGUUUCCUAGCUUAGAAGGAUGGUCGGAAUGGUGGUGGCCUGGCAGUGGGCUAGUGGCCAUGGAGCCUCCUUGGCCGCAGGAGAAUAGGAAGGCCGCAGUGGGCUGGUGUUGGGCAGUAGGACAUGUUGUUGAAAUGGAUAGGAGCCGGUGCAUCCAAGCGGCUAGAACUCCCAAAGACGAAAGAUGAUAGUGAUGUGGUGGCACCGGAGCCAAAGAUGGAGGGGUGCGAGGGUUUCCCAAACCGCCGGGGCCGGGGUUACCGUGACCCGGCGGUAAGCACGGUUACUGUGCGGUAACCACGAUAACCGUGAAAAACCGUACGAAACCAUAUAAAUUUAUUUGACUUUAAGGAGGUUACCGCGGUUUUUCUAUUACCGUAUCCCUACGGUAAGGCCGGUAACUGCGGUAACCGCACGGUUACCGACGGUAAUGUAAACCCUGGGUGCGACAACAUGGCCUAGCGGGCCUUGUAAGCGUAGGGGCAACGGCCACCAAGUGGAGGGCGAUGCAAGAAUCGCUUGACAAGGCUAAGGAGGGGGGAGGGGAGGGAGGGGGACACUGGUGGAGAAACCCUUUGUACUCCUGGUUCGUAACUCCCCUUUAGUCCCGGUUAUCCAACCGGGACUACGAAUCCGGGACUAAAGAUCGCUAUCUUUAGUCCCGAGUGAAAUAACCGGGACUAAAGAUCGAUAUUUACUAAAGAUACCUAUCUUUAGUCUCGGUUGGACUAAAGAGAGGGUAGCGGCAGUCCCAUUAGGUCUCCUUUUCUUUUUUUUUCAUUAUUUUUUAGCCAGAGUUUAAUCCCUGUAUUUUCUCCCAAAUCGAGUGGGAUGCAUAUUCCCAAAUCAAACCCCAAAUCAAAGUAACAUCCCAAAACAUUCACAUCACAAAUCUUAAGUUACUUGUACACAAAAAAUCAAAUACAUCACAAAUCUUAAAAAAAUUACACACAAACCAAAUACAUCACAUAUUAUAUAUCUCAGAUCCAUACAACAAAUCACAAAAUUAUACAUCUCAGUGAAUCACAAAUUGUAAAAAAAAAAGAAAAAAAAAGAAUGAAUGCCGGUAGUGCCGCCUGCCGCCGCUCGCUACUCGCCGGGCGUGGCCCCGCCGGCCGCCUACCGCGUGCGGCCCCGCCGGGCGCGGCCCCACCUAACGCGUGCGGGAAGGGAGGAGGGGGAGGAGGCGAUGCUCGCUGGGCAUCGGAUGGGAAGGGAGGAGGGGGAGGAGAGGGCCGGGAUGGGAGGAGGAGAGGGAGAUGGAUCUGAGGAGAGGAGAGGCCGGUUGUGAGGGAGAGGAUAGGGAAUAGAGAUUAUAUACUACGCGUGAUUUUAGUCCCGGUUGGUAAUACCAACCGGGAGUAAAGAUCUAGGAGAUCUUUAGUCCCGGUUAGUAAUACCAACCGGGACUAAAGUGGUAAUCUUUAGUCCUGGUUUGUGACACCAACCGGGACUAAAGAUCGUAAAAUGACUAUGGGGUUUUAAACCGGGACUAAAGGUUUUUUUUAACUGGGACUACUGUGGUUUUGGGGCGACCGAGCAAAGAUCAGUUUUUCCAGUAGUGGGAGGAGGGGAGAGAAAUCACACAAGUGACGUACAGAUAUACCAAUCUAUGUUCCUACCAGGCUACCAUGACGUACUCCCUCCGUACUCGUAAAGGAAAUCGUUUUGGAUAGCGACACGGUCUCUAAAAACACAACUUUGACUUCUUUGUUUGUGUAAAGAUAUUUAUUGAAAAGUGAUAUAUGCAUACAUUUAUGAAAAUAUUUUUCAAGACCAAUAUAUUCAUAUAAUUUUUACAUUUUCAAACUCAACAACUUGAGAGUUAUUCAUAAUUUAUAUUCCCAAGAUUUAACUUAAACAUUAUCCUAAACGACUUCCUUUACUACGGAGGGAGUAUGUGUUAACGGUAAGAUUUGGAUAUAAGCAUUGGUCAAAACGGACCAACAAGAGGAAUUGACGCCGUAAGAAGAAUUGGUUCAGUUGGGAAGUGAAUCGGGCUGAUUAGACUUGUUUUAGAUUUAAUUUUGGAAAUAAUUGCUGUAAUUAGGCAGGUGUGUAAUUUUCGUUUAUUUGGAGAUAAGUCCACUGCCGAUCAAAUCGUAUUUGAGUCGGGCUUAGUUAGACCAAUGGUAUAAAUAUAUGUGCCCACAAACCUAGCUAGGAAAAAAAAAUCAACAUAUCAAUAUACGACUUUUGAUGCCGUCCAGUAGCACGUAAAUAUAUAUAGGGAUUUCAUAUCACGAAAUGCCCAUACGUACUAGAUUGCCAACA